rnacentral:rRNA from 1 species
UAGUCAUAUGCUUGUCUCAAAGACUAAGCCAUGCAUGUGUAAGUAUAAGUGUUAUACGGCGAGACUGCGAAUGGCUCAUUAAAACAGUUAUAGUUUAUUUGACAAUUGAAACUACAUGGAUAACCGUGGCAAUUCUAGAGCUAAUACAUGCUUGAAAGCCGGACUCACGGACGGCUGAGUUUAUUAGAUACAACCAACCCUCGGGUUGCGUGGACUCAUAGUAACUGAUCGGAUCGCUUUUGCGAUGAGUCAUUCAAGUUUCUGCCCUAUCAGCUCUCGAUGGUAGUGUAUUGGACUACCAUGGCAGUCACGGGUAACGGAGAAUUAGGGUUCGGUUCCGGAGAGGGAGCCUGAGAAACGGCUACCACAUCUAAGGAAGGCAGCAGGCGCGUAAAUUACCCAAUCCUGACUCAGGGAGGUAGUGACAAGAAAUAACAACCCGGGGCAAUAGCUACUGGGAUUGCAAUGAUCGUAAUCUAAAGCAAUUAGAAAGAAACCAUUGGAGGGCAAGUCUGGUGCCAGCAGCCGCGGUAAUUCCAGCUCCAAUAGCGUAUAUUAAAGUUGUUGCAGUUAAAAAGCCCGUAGUUCAAUUUCUGUCCCGGGAACUAGAGGCGACUCGAAGGCCCCGGGGCAUCCGUCGGCACCACGCUCCGGCGUGAGGGCAGACAGUUUACCUUGAGAAAAUUAGAGUGUUCAAGGCAGGCGUAGCCGGAAUACAUUAGCAUGGAAUAAUGGAAGAGGACUCCAAGCCGUUGUUGGUUGGGUAAGGAGUAAUGAUGAAUAGGGACAGUCGGGGGCAUUAGUAUUUAAUUGUCAGUGGUGAAAUUCUUGGAUUCAUUAAAGACUGACUACUGCGAAAGCAUUUGCCAAGGAUGUUUUCAUUGAUCAAGAACGAAAGUUAGGGGAUCAAAGACGAUCAGAUACCGUCCAAGUCUUAACCAUAAACCAUACCGACUCGGAUUCAGCCGGGAACAAUCCCGGCUGGGACCGUACGAGAAAUCAAAGUCUUUGGGUUCUGGGGGGAGUAUGGU